CAACACCAUCACCUCCACCGCUAUUCAUCACCAGCAUCCAUCACCCCCUCCACCACCAGCAACACCAGGAUAAAUUAUGAUCAUUUGAUGAUUUUGGGUCAUGUAUUUGAAUAAAUUAUGUGAGAUGAAUAUUAUCAUAAUCAAAAUUUCCUCCAGUGAAUCAAAUCAGUAUACAAAAUUUAUUUGGAUGGAUCAAACUAAGAUUAUGUCCCGCACACAAAAAAGGGUUCCAAUCAUCUCCAUUGUCAAAUAAUACGAAUGUGAUUCGUUCUUUAUCAAUUUAAGUUCAUCAUCAAACGUACCCGGGAUCUAAUUUUGUGUCUCUGAAUUGAAGGAUGCUAUACGUGAUUAGUUAUGAGUACAGAGUUUACAGACCAGACAGAUGUUAUUUGGAUCUGUUAUAUGAGACCAUUUAAAGAGAUCAAGGAUUAAUUAGGGGGUGGGAUUUAGAAGGCGGUGUGGAGGUCUAUGAGCGAUGUAGUUAGGAUCUAUUGGUGGCCUUCAUUUCUCAGAUCAAAUAUCAUUGUUCAUUAGUUUCCUAUGUGCAGGGAGAAGUUGGGCGAAUUAUUGGUCGCUUUUUGACAUAUGGAAAUGAAUACCACUGCAGGCUAUAUGGAAAUUGUGCCCUCAACACUGAGCUCCUACGUAGACAACUUUUGAAGAUGAGAAUGAGCUUGAAAAUAACGGACAAGCGGACGUGCCUGAUGAGAAUCCCCAAGAGGACACAACUAUACAGGGAGGUAAGUCCAGUUUCAAGUAGCGUCCACUACUUAUGAUUGGAUGUACUCUUGAAUUUUUCUUUCUGUUCAUAAAGACGUUUACUAUUACACUAUACAGUCCAAUAAAAUUAAGAAGUGCCUAACUGUCUAUUAGUUUGAUCAUGUGUUCCAUGGACAGCAGAACCGCCAAUUCAUAUAUGAGGCUUGAGUUUGUCGUUUUAUCCAGCUUUGUUAUGUAUAUAGAUAGAUAUAUCCUCUGCUUAAUCUGCCCAAUUCGCAUGAUAAAGCCAAACACCUAUGGUUUGUAUCAUUACUAUGGUGAUAUUGAUGCUGCCACAUGACAUUGCUGCUGCUGAUUGUGAUUUCUAAAGUCCAUAAGCUUCUCCCACGUAGGACGAUUAUUACUCAUUACUUUGUUAUUGCCCCAUGAGAAACCCAAAUAUCUAUAUAUGUUACUGAACUCUUAUGUUUAUUGCUAUCUGAUUGUGUAGGUCAUAGAAAUAACAAUAGAAGAACGAGAACUCAGUUGCCUAACAGGGUUUUUUGUAAUUUUGCAAGGAGUUUUGUGGACUUGCAUUCGCUUCAACGCCUGCAAUUGACUAACAUUAGCUCAUGUGACUAUUGUUGUGCCAAAUUGUUUCCUCACGCAACUAAAAUGUUCUGUUGUUUGAAUGGAAGAGUUUAGUUGCCAGAAUUGUCUGUACCUCCAGAGCUAAUUGAACUAUGUACAACACAAUCAGAAAAAUGAGUUCAUUUUGGGAAAAAAUUUCCGGUUAUAUAACCAUGGCUUUUCUUUCACAUCGGCGAGGGAGUGUAUAAGUAUCGUGCUCAAGUUGCUAUGUAUCGUAAAAUAGUGAUCCAAUAAUUAUUCUUUUUAGUUGUACUUGGUUGAUUUGAGUGUUUGGAAAUCGAAAAUACAGAAUACUUGCAAAAAAAGAGUUGUUGUUCGCCGACGUGCAACGCAUGUGUCCUUGGUUUUGGGUGAAGUAUCCUCAACAAAUACUUCAAGAUUGGUUUGGUUAUCACUCUCAUCUUCUUCACUUCAGGUGAAUACCAUUGUUGGACUGCAUUAACUUCUUCUAUUACCAUUGUGGAUGGAUUCAUCGAGUUGUCAUCCACGUCGAAGUCCGAGACUUACUGAUCUAGCUCGAGUUCAAGAGCUAAUGGAGACUGAUGCUGAAAAAGAAAGGAAGCUGCGUCGUGCUCAGUAUAGGGAAAAACAAGAUACAACUACGGAAGGCGAAAGACAGGAGCGAAAUGAAUGAUGUCGUGCUGCUUAUCGUGCAAGAAUUAGUGCAGCAAAUCGCCGACCAGAUGACCAUGAAGCCAGUUCAAGUGUCCAAGUUGCUAAUUCAGCUGGGGGGGAUAAAGCAGAAUCAAGUUUCAUUCCCCGUCGAAUCCCAAGAAUAGAGCUGCAACAAAAAGAGCUCCAAUUAGAGAAGCUUCGUAUUGCAAAAAGGGAUAGGCGAAAUUCACUGACUGAAAAUCAAAAAGAAGAGAUCCUUGAAAAACUUCGUAAAGCCUAUGAAAUACUAAGAGCAAGAGUUUGUGAGUAAACUAACAAUGAGCACAGAGCUGGACCAAGUAGUGCAAUGAAGUGCGAUAAGGUUCCAACGUCAAGACCCCGUAGAAGCCCCCAAAUCAGGAACAUGGUCCUGUCACAAGUGUAAUAAAAUAUCAGAAAGUGAUGUCCACUUUAACGUCUGUUGUUCGCCGAGAUGAGCAAAUCUCUGUUGCAGACUUAUCUCUUUCCCGCCGGAGUCCUAGGAUUGUCGAGCAACUUCAGUGUCUAGAGGAGCACGCCGUGGAAGCAUCCCGAAAGAGGAAGGGAAAGUCAGUUGCACAUGAUAACCAGAGCCGCCCAAAUAGUUGCAUUUCAGGCAGAAACACUUUGGAAAGCAUAGUUACAAGGUGCGACGUUGCUGAGCAAGUCAAUACCUGCCGAAGCCCCACACUUCUCGAUCAAGUUCAGCUCCAAGAUAAUCUUUCAGCAGAGGCUUCCCGAAAUAGGAAGGGCAAGGCAGUUGCGCCUUACCAGGAACGGCGCCGAGCAAACAGCUACGUUCCUGGCAGAAACUCACCGAAAGGCAUAGUUAUUGGUUCAACGGAUGGAGAGAAAAACAACAAUGAUCCAGUGGAUUAUGACACUGAUGAUGAAGGGGGGAAUUACGAGCAACAUUACGAGAUGUAUGUAUCCAAUCUAUUUAUAGAAAAAGAACCAUAAAAUAAUUUUCUCCGCCGUCUUCCCCCAACUCUCUCCUCAUCGGUCCUCCAUCACUAACAGCACUUUUCAGCCCUUCUACGCCUCUUUCUCUGGAUCUCUCUUCCUCUUCUUAUGCAUGUCUUCUACUAACAACAUCUUUACAGCAGCAACUGAAGUGAAGAUCUGACAACAACUACUUCAUAUCAUCAAAACCGGUGUUCAUGUCGAUGAAGAUCAGCUCAGCUUUGUGGAUCUUUUAUUGAGAUAUAUUAGAGAAUAAUUAGUUUCUGAGUUAUGGGUUUGUAGUUUUGCCUAGAUGCUAGAUGUGAUUGAUUAUUUGAACGUUUAGGUUAAUGGUGGGUGAAUUUAUCAUGUAAUUUGUUAUUUCAUUUAAGCAUCAGAUCCAAUUUUUUAUCCGAUUGGAAUUAUUAGUUGA